rnacentral:rRNA from 13 species
AGAACGUCGUGAGACAGUUCGGUCCCUAUCUGCCGUGGGCGUUUGAGAAUUGAGAGGAGCUGCUCCUAGUACGAGAGGACCGGAGUGGACGAACCCCUGGUGUUCCGGUUGUCACGCCAGUGGCAUUGCCGGGUAGCUACGUUCGGACGGGAUAACCGCUGAAAGCAUCUAAGCGGGAAGCCUCCCUCAAGAUGAGAUCUCCCUGGGAACUUGAUUCCCCUGAAGGGCCGUUGAAGACCACAACGUUGAUAGGCUGGGUGUGGAAGCGUUGUAAGGCGUGAAGCUAACCAGUACUAAUUGCCCGUGAGGCUUGACU